ensembl:lncRNA
CGACUCAGCAGAGCCAACUCUGAAGCCAAGUCCGGAGAAGAUGGAGACAGGUCUGGAGUGAUCAACUGGGUCACUCAGGGUCUGACCAAAGUGCUGCCUCAGCCUGACGACAAGUACAGAGAGACUGAGAAGGACGAGGAACACACGGAGGUGUAUGACGUAGCCACGAUGCCAGAUUUCGACCCACUUCCCCACAUCCCUGUGGUGGAGAUGGUGUCAGACGACGAGGUGUCGGACACAGAGAGUUUGACACCUCACUUUCCUCCCAAUGUGGUGACCUGGAUAAAGCAGAUAGUUCCUCAGCCGGUCAUACUGCCCCCUGGUGCUGUGCCCGUGGAACCGUCAACCAAGUCCUCCCGCACGUCUCUGGAUAAAAUUCUGUCUCCACCGCCUGAAUCGCUCAGUGGAAUCUCACUGGAUACUGAAAGCAAGGCCUCUGGUGUGGUGAACUGGUUUGUGUCAGGGCUGGGUCUGAAGAUGCCUCAGCCUGUUUCUCCAUCCAAGGAUGAAGCUCAUACCGUACCUGAAGUCAUUCAGAAAGAGAAAAGCGUAGAUUUUGCAGAAAAGAUUUCUUUAACAGAAGAGAGUGAACCCAUCUCAUUACCAGUAAAACCUCUUUUUUCAUUUUGAACAGCUCCUCUGCAUGAGUGUGACAUUUGCAGACUGCUGCAUGUUUGCUUUCUGUUGAAGCAGCCUCUUGUUUUUUCCUUAUAGUUAAUGAAGAGGUGUUUUGGUCGGACGGUCGGAG